rnacentral:tRNA from 1 species
UCCCUGGUGGCUCAGAGGAUAAAGCAUUUGCCUGCAAAGCAGGAGACCCAGGUUUGAUCCCUGGAUUGGGAA